rfam:Dipodomys ordii contig_47453, whole genome shotgun sequence.
GGUGGCUCAGGGGUAGAGCACUUGCCUUGCAUGCAUGAGGCCCUGGGUUCGAUUCCUCAGCACCA